GGGCCCGUGGCGCAGCCCGGAUGGCGCAUCGGCCUUCUAAGCCGGGGGUCGCGGGUUCAAAUCCCGCCGGGCCCGCCA
rnacentral:tRNA from 1 species